rnacentral:rRNA from 1 species
UACGAAGGGUGCAAGCGUUACUCGGAAUUACUGGGCGUAAAGGGUGCGUAGGUGGUUUUUUAAGUCUGUCGUGAAAGCCCCGGGCUCAACCUGGGAAUGGCGAUGGAUACUGGCUCGCUAGAGUGCGGUAGAGGAGAGUGGAAUUCCCGGUGUAGCAGUGAAAUGCGUAGAGAUCGGGAGGAACAUCAGUUGCGAAGGCGGCUCUCUGGACCAGCACUGACACUGAGGCACGAAAGCGUGGGGAGCAAACAGG